UUUUUAUUUUCUUAAUGUUAUUUAACAGAUCAUUUUGUUCCACGCCUUUAACAUUUAAUGCUAAUUUACUGUAUCAUUGUUUGUUGGAAACUGAAGUUAAUUGUUACUUGAAGUUUUAGUGUAAAUUUAUUUUCAUGUCUGAAAUUCCUUCAUCAUUUUAUUAGUCGGACGAUAUAAAAUGGUUAAUGAACUUAACCGAAGGCAUCCGUAAAUCAAACAAGUCAAAUAAGAUCAAAAAGAGUAUAAUGAACAGGUGGAAGAAAAAAUGGAUCUUGUGGAGUUGCAGUAUUCUAAAGAUCUUUGACGAUAGUGUGUUCGAUAACUCAGAACGUAAUCUAGUGUACCAUAUUGCAGAAUACAUUCUUAAGCGUGUCCCGAAACAUUGUACUGUUU